rnacentral:miRNA from 1 species
CGGUGUGUGAAUGGCCUGGAACAG